GACGAACGCUGGCGGCGUGCUUAACACAUGCAAGUCGAACGGAAAGGCCCUGCUUUUAUGGGGUGCUCGAGUGGCGAACGGGUGAGUAACACGUGAGUAACCUGCCCUUGACUUUGGGAUAACUUCAGGAAACUGGGGCUAAUACCGGAUAGGAGCUCCUGCUGCAUGGUGGGGGUUGGAAAGUUUCGGCGGUUGGGGAUGGACUCGCGGCUUAUCAGCUUGUUGGUGGGGUAGUGGCUUACCAAGGCUUUGACGGGUAGCCGGCCUGAGAGGGUGACCGGCCACAUUGGGACUGAGAUACGGCCCAGACUCCUAUGGGAGGCAGCAGUGGGGAAUAUUGCACAAUGGGCGGAAGCCUGAUGCAGCAACGCCGCGUGCGGGAUGACGGCCUUCGGGUUGUAAACCGCUUUCGCCUGUGACGAAGCGUGAGUGACGGUAAUGGGUAAAGAAGCACCGGCUAACUACGUG
rnacentral:rRNA from 1 species